rnacentral:misc_RNA from 1 species
GACAUUCCUCAUCUAUACCUUAACAGAAUAUUCCUGUGAAAGACUGCAUGAUCUGCAUGAAGAGCUUAUUGCCCCAGUUACCCAUGUGUGUCACUGUGGCAGAUAUUUUCCCUAAUUCCUAUUGAGCAGAGUCAAUUUCAACUAUGGUAAUAUUUGGUUGUAUAGAGUUGAUUGUAUUAUCAUUAUGAGCUAAUCAUCCUGCAACUUAUCAGCUGUUUAAAGAAUAUUUGUCGAUGCUCAAGGACCUAGCGCAAACAGCUGUUGUUGCAAAGGCACGCUAUCCAACUCAUUGCAGGAAACAUGGUUGUCUUUGGGAAUGAGUUCUUUACAAUAAUGGGAAAGAAC